UUCAUUCAAUUCAAAUUCAACAUUUUUAUUCAUUCAUAAGUUCAAGUUUACAAUACUUUUCAAAUACAAAUAUUCAUUUAUCAAUAUUCAUUUGUUCAAGUUCAAGCACAAAAUCCCAAGGUCCAAAAUUUCGUAUAAUCACAUACAUUCAAAACAUUUUGUCCAUUAUUUUGCUAAGCCUUGAACCUUGUCCAUUUUACAAAUCCAAAGUAGUCCAAAUUGCAAUACAUCAAACCAAUGGCAUAUUUCAGUUACACAAAAUAAUGUCCACAAAACAAUUCAAAAAUCUGCCCAAAUACAAUUCAAAAACAGUUCCAAAUUGUGGUCCAAACAAAAGCAUUAAAAGCAUUCCAUAA